AUAAGGGCUGAAAGCAAAGCCGCUGAGCUGUAUUUGGAGGGGAAGGUCUACCAGCUUCCUCCACGUUCACUGAGUGGCUGCAUUCACUUGUGCUAAGGAGCACUCAGCAAGAGAAGGCACAUUUUCACCGGUGUCUCUCCAUCUGUGGGCACUCACCCUGGUAAUGCCUAAGUAUCUUUGAAUCAGCUGGGGCAUGCCUCACAUCAGCAAAAUUAUUCUCCCUGCAGUCCUUUGCAAGCUGUUAACCUCCUCCUGUGCUACAGUCCAGGCUUCCAGGCAAGGUAGUGGAGAUCUACCAAAUUCUCUCAAGCCGUUUUUUCAAAUUCAUCAAGGUUUUGCCUGGAGGCUUGGAGCUUGGCGGCGAGCAGCUGGUUUCUUCAGCAGUGAUACAAGGCGCAUGGCCGGCCCCGUGCAAUAUGCCUGGCCUUUGACUGCACCCAGAAGUGCAUCAUGCCGUGGAAAGUACAGAAACUGCUUCUAGCAUGAACGUAUAUUUUUCUUCCUCCUUUUUUCCAUGUGACUCUUGCUUCAGAAUAAUGCUGGUGUAGGGGAGGAAAAUAUCUAUUUUUUAUGAAAAUGCAGCAUUUUAUUUCAUCAAACGUUGCUUAACAGAGACAUGGGUUAUUGGCUGGGCAAAUGUUGGACUAGUCUAAACUAGUUCAAAGCCAGUGCUGCAGCCCAAAGCAGGUUCUUGUGAAGCUCGUGGCUGCUGUGGCCCCCAGCUUGUGUGGAGCAACCCAUUAUGUUAGUGAGAAAUAAUUCCUCAAGUGUUUCCCAUCACUAUCCCCUGCUUGUGGAAGAACUGCUGAACUGAUCCUUCAGCCUUUUCCUGGCUGUCUCCUAAAUGUGCUCCAAGCUUGUGGAGCAAGCUAAUUGCAUCCUGCUGCAAUGUAAUUUUUCUCUAUAUGGACACAGGUGAUUGGGUAUCCCAUUUUGCACCAGAUCAAGGUAGGAAGGUAAUAACAAGAAAGCAAGAUGUGGGGAAAGAUCCUUCUUUCAGCCUCCUUAUGUUCUGAAAUCUCCUUUACAGAAGGCUCCUUCUUUCCAAACACCCUAAGUCCUAUUAAUCCUAUUUGUUUUUUUAAUCCUUUGAAAACUGUGCCAUGAUUGCUUGAGGAGGUCUGAGAUCCACUCUGAGAAGGUAAAACGGACUUAAUCUGUUUCUUGUGUGAUUAAUCUGUUUCAAUAUUCUUGGUCUGCUUUCACUAAAAAUGUCAAAAUUUAAUGCUUUAUAAUUAAUGUAGGUGAGAGGCCUUUUAAUAUACUUUCCAAUCUGAGAGUUUAGAGUAAUUUCUAUCUUUACAAACAUAUGUUCACAUGAGACCAAUACUGUUCAGAGUGUGAGUGGGUUUAAAUGAAAUACCUAGGGAAAAAGUAUCUUGAACAACAGAGUCAUGGACCGCUGGGGAAAAAAUUCUACCAAACUAACUCACCAAAUCUAGCAUACUGGGGAAAAGGUAAUUUCUCCUGAAAAUGCCUGCAGGGUAAAGUUUAUUCUCCUUCUGGCAAUCUGAGUAACAGAAUAAGGAUGCUCUAAUAAAUGAUGGCAGAGGCUGAAAAAGAUGUAGGAGUGUGGAAAAGAAAUCACUAGUCUACCUCAGCUCUGCUGGAUCUGAUAAUCGCUAGCAGAUACGAGGCUGCCUGCACAUCACUUCUAUCUGCGGGGUUAUCUUGUCGUGGUUGUUUUGCUUGUUUUUUUUCCUUUCUUGUCCUUCUGUGGCGUGUCACACACACCCAUCGCAGAGGCACAGACGUACCCAAAUUGCCUUAUCCUCCUUGUCUCCUGCAAGAAUAAGUAUUUCCUAAAAAUCUCUCUCUGUUUCUCCCCUUACGGCUAUGUUCUGCAUCUCUAUAGGUAGCUGGUGGAAAACAUCUUAACAGUUACCACUGUGUCCCACUGAAAGUAGCCAGCAACUCUUUUUAGUUUAUUAUUUGUGCUGUUAAGUAUGACCUGGAAAUUUGUAUCGUUGUAUAACCAGAUGUCAGUUCCUUCAAUUCCUACAAAGCAACUCUUUUUUUUUCUCCCUUCCCCUCCUUCCCUGGCUACCCAGUGAAAUGAAAAGCCCACAACAUGAGUUCAUGCUCCUAACGGGAUGAGUAUUGUCAGGAAUAUACAAGCUGUGGUUUUUCCUUUCUGCAUCCUGAAAGUGAAGAAAAAAGUCCUUUGAUGUAUCCAAAGCUGUUACUCCUUUUUCUUCAUUGAGCUAAUAAAAGGUAUCAUUAUAUUAUCA